UUCCUACACCAAAUUAAAUGAACAAGUGAAUAAUACUCAAAUAAUUAAAUUUAUAUAUAUAAAAAAAAGAAUCUAUAUAAUAAUAAUAAUAAUAAUAAAUAAAUAGAAUAAAAUAAUGUGUAACAUUGGAUAGAUCCGAGAGAAUAUAUGCAAUCAUGCAGCAUUUAAUGGUGCAUUAAUUAGAGAGCAGGAGGAAAUCAUAUCCUCUUACAGAAUAUUUUUUUUUUUAAAGAUAAGUUUCACUAACAUCUUCCAUCUUUUGUAUAAGUACGUAGUUAUCACAAUAAAUUUUCACCUCCACAUCACUAUCAACCACAAAAUAGAGACUUUGUCCCCAAGUUUCAUAAACAAACUGCCAAAAUGGAAGCAGCUGCCUCUCCUCACCUCUCCUCCUCCCCACUUUUCGACACCCAAAGUUUCACAAGGAAAGGGGUGCAGCGAGUAGUAGCAAGGAGCGAGAGGAGCCCCACAACAAAGAAUAAAUUACCAAGCAAGGUUAUCUCCGCAAGUAAGGUCGGAGUAAGAAAUUCAAGUUAAAGGAACUAAACGAACCAGAGAGACAAUGGUGAUCAAGAGUUAAGGAUUUAAGCUUGGCAGCAGAGCUCCAUGAAUUAGGGAUCGAGGAAGUGAGAUUAUCACAUUGAAGAGCGAGAGAGGAUGAGAGAGAAAGACUCAAUGGGUCGAACCAGCGAAGGAAUUAAAGCUCGGACCAAAAAUGAUAUUUUUGUAAAGUUCACGAACCUAAAAAGAUACUCUCUCAAUAUUUUAAUGAGGAAGAGAGUAAAUAGAUAAAAUUGCUCUUUAUGGCCUUGAGGAUAUUUUCACCAAUUUUUUUUAAAAUAAU